rnacentral:miRNA from 1 species
AUCAAUGAACUUUUUGGCCAGC